UCCCCGAUAGAUCACAGUGCCUGGAAUGGCCUGUGGUUCAAAUGAUUUAUCGCCGUAGGAUGGGACUGCGGCCUAUCAGCUAGUUGGUGAGGUAAUGGCCCACCAAGGCUAUAACAGGUACGGGCUCUGAGAGGAGGGGCCCGGAGAUGGGUACUGAGACACGGACCCAGGCCCUAUGGGGCGCAGCAGGCGAGAAACCUUUGCAAUGUGCGAAAGCACGACAAGGUUAAUCCGAGUGUCUCCUGCUAAAGGAGUCUUUUGCCGGUCAUAGAACCACCGGUGAAUAAGGGGUGGGCAAGUUCUGGUGUCAGCCGCCGCGGUAAAACCAGCACCUCGAGUGGUCAGGAGGUUUAUUGGGCCUAAAGCAUCCGUAGCCGGCUGCUCAAGUUUUCGGUUAAAUCUAUGCGCUUAACGUAUAGGCCGCCGAAAAUACUGGGCAGCUAGGGAGUGGGAGAGGUACACGGUACUCAAUAGGAAGGGGUAAAAUCCUUUGAUCUAUUGAUGACCACCUGUGGCGAAGGCGGUGUACCAGAACACGUUCGACGGUGAGGGAUGAAAGCUGGGGGAGCAAACCGGAUUAGAUACCCGGGUAGUCCCAGCUGUAAACGAUGCAGACUCGGUGAUGCCUUGGCUUGUGGCCAAUGCAGUGCCGCAGGGAAGCCGUUAAGUCUGCCGCCUGGGAAGUACGUACGCAAGUAUGAAACUUAAAGGAAUUGGCGGGGGAGCACCACAAGGGGUGAAGCCUGCGGUUCAAUU
rnacentral:rRNA from 1 species